rnacentral:rRNA from 1 species
GAUGAACGCUAGCGGCAGGCUUAAUACAUGCAAGUCGAGGGGGCAGCAAUGUCACCGGCGGACGGGUGCGUAACGCGUAUGAAACCUACCUUUAUCAGGGGGAUAGCCCGGGGGAAACCCGGAUUAAUACCGCAUAAUAUAUUGAAUGGCAUCAUUCGAUAUUGAAAGAUUUAUUGGAUAGAGAUGGUCAUGCGUAGGAU